rnacentral:rRNA from 1 species
GACGAACGCUGGCGGCGUGCCUAAUACAUGCAAGUCGAGCGAGUCUGCCUUGAAGAUCGGAGUGCUUGCACUCUGUGAAACAAGAUACAGGCUAGCGGCGGACGGGUGAGUAACACGUGGGUAACCUGCCCAAGAGAUCGGGAUAACACCUGGAAACAGAUGCUAAUACCGGAUAACAACAGAUGAUGCCUAUCAACUGUUUAAAAGAUGGUUCUGCUAUCACUCUUGGAUGGACCUGCGGUGCAUUAGCUAGUUGGUAGGGUAACGGCCUACCAAGGCGAUGAUGCAUAGCCGAGUUGAGAGACUGAUCGGCCACAUUGGGACUGAGACACGGCCCAAACUCCUACGGGAGGCAGCAGUAGGGAAUCUUUCACAAUGGACGCAAGUCUGAUGGAGCAACGCCGCGUGAGUGAAGAAGGGUUUCGGCUCGUAAAGCUCUGUUGUUGGUGAAGAAGGACAGGGGUAGUAACUGACCUUUGUUUGACGGUAAUCAAUUAGAAAGUCACGGCUAACUAAGUG